rnacentral:rRNA from 1 species
CCUACGGGAGGCAGCAGUCGAGAAUCAUUCACAAUGGGGGAAACCCUGAUGGUGCGACGCCGCGUGGGGGAAUGAAGGUCUUUGGAUUGUAAACCCCUGUCAUGUGGGGGCAAAUUAAAAAGAUAGUACCACAAGAGGAAGAGACGGCUAACUCUGUGCCAGCAGCCGCGGUAAGACAGAGGUCUCAAGCGUUGUUCGGAAUCACUGGGCGUAAAGCGUGCGUAGGCUGUUUCGUAAGUCGUGUGUGAAAGGCGCGGGCUCAACCUGCGGACGGCACAUGAUACUGCGAGACUAGAGUAAUGGAGGGGGAACCGGAAUUCUCGGUGUAGCAGUGAAAUGCGUAGAUAUCGAGAGGAACACUCGUGGCGAAGGCGGGUUCCUGGACAUUAACUGACGCUGAGGCACGAAGGCCAGGGGAGCGAAAGGGAUUAGAUACCCCAGUAGUC